AUGCUCACUGUGGCAGCACAGACACUAAAAUUGGAAUGAUACAGAAGAGAUUCACACAGCCCCUGUGGAAGGAUGAGAUGCAAAUUUGCGAAGCAUUCCAUAUUUUU
ensembl:snRNA U6 U6 spliceosomal RNA